rnacentral:misc_RNA from 1 species
GUGAAUCAUCGAAUCUUUGAACGCAAAUUGCACUCUCCUCUAAGAGUAUGAGUAUUUGAGUGUCAGCCUAUAAAAAUCGACAUCGUGGCUGUUUCGCGGAGGCGUUCGUCGGGAAGUGGGGCAGCUUAAAUCCUUUUGGUUUCAGCGACUUAACAUUUUCUUUUGGUUCCAUGAACGUUUCUAAGAUCUAUUUCUUUACACGUUUAAGGUAUCGAUUUUUACUAGACGUGACAAUCAUAUCGUAUCGCGCC